GCGCGAGUGUCAGCGGAGGUAUCCUCCGCGUCUCGGGGCCGAAAUCCGCGCGGGCCGGACGUGGGCCGCUGUGGGUCCCGCGUGGGUCCCUUACCGUAGGGACUGGACGGCCGGGAACCGCCCCCCAGGCCGGCGCCCUCGGGCGGACAGGGCUGGCGUGGGGAGGGCAGCCGGGACUCGCAGCGGGGCGCCCACAAGCAUCGCCCGCAGGAGUGCCCGACGUCGAGGACGACCCCGGGGGUCGCUGACCCGGAGCCCGUGGAACCACCCGGGGGUCGCUGACAGCCGCGUGCGGACACGGGGACCACCCGGGGGUCUCAGACAUCCGGACAGGGGGACCACCUGGGGGUCGCUGACACCGACACAUGGACCCCGGGAGUCACCGACAUCAACAAGUGGACACGAGCGUGUCCAUUUCUCACCUGUGUGGGUUGCCGCCCGUAGCCUAGCAUUGUUAUUUCUACCAGAGGCCUGAUGCUUCGGGGGAAUCAUUAGGACACCGGGUUAAUUCCCACCACUGAGCGAAUGGCAGUUACCCCUUGCAACACUCUUGGUCUUGUGUUUGUCGUUACAUUGGUUUUAUGAAGUAAUAUUGCUGCCAUGAAGUAGAACAAGAUUAUAUACCUUCUCAAUACAGCCUAGACUCUCCGGCACCACUGUCCUCCUCAAGGCGCACCUGGGAGGCCGACUGCCACAAACUCUGCCCCGCGGUUGGAAGCAACCACCUUUCUCUGCAUUGCCACAACACUAGUUUCCUGUCUCCGUGACGCUGUAAAAUUCUUGAACUAGGGGCUGCCUUUUACUCAUGUCCCCACCUCCAAUACCCAGCCACACAGGGCCUUCCACGGAGUAGGCACCUUCUGGGAAUGCCACAAAAUAAAACCUUACUUUAACUGCAUGUACAUUUCUUACGCAAGGAAAGUAGGUUUGGGGAAACGUUUGCAAAUGAAAUAAGGUAAAUGUAUGUGAAACAGUUUGAGUGUGAACACAGCUGCUAAAUGCGUGUGCACAGUGCGGCGCUGUGCUUGGAGGCUGGGUGAGCAGGCAGAGGUCAGGGUCUAGGACAGCUGGAGCCUGUGAGGCAGGGCAGCAGAACAGGAGGUACGGAUGAGAGCCAGAAGUGUGCGUGGGGCUCAGCGUAAGGCUCGGCCUCAGCUGUGCUCAGCACUCACUGGAUAAGGUUCCACAGGGCUUACCAGGAAGACAGUGAGAACAGGGCAGAAAUCCACAAGUCUGAUGGAAAGCAUUGAAUUCUUGACUUACAGAUCGAGAGACUCAGGAAAACCUCAGUAGAAUACCUACAAAGAGGGACUUCCCCGGCGGUCCAGUGGUUAAGACUUCACGCUCCCAAUGCAGGGGGCAGAGGUUCAAUCCCUGGUGAGGGAACUAGAUCCCGCGUGCCACGCGGUGAGGCCAAAAUACAAAAAUAAUAAAAGGUAAAAGAGAGAGAGGACAGCCACGAAUGGGCAGUUAUCACAUGAAAAGAUGCUCAGCAUCCAUUAGAUCCUUUUCUGCUGAGACAGCAUUUGUUUUUUUAAAGGUUGCUGGAACUUGAGCCCAAAUGGUCUUUCCUGGUAGCCCAUUACAUUGUCUUCAGGCUGCAGAGAGCCUGUUCAAUUAUGUAUUGGGAUACUGCAGAUGCUUUGUCUAAGGGAACACCGCCCUGGGCUUGCUCUGCCCCACUGCUCAGGCCCUCUCCACAGAGGGCUGUGCUAAAACUGAAGGUGAGCCAGCACAUGUUCACAGCAGGUUUAUUACCGUAGCUGAAACUGGAAACCACCCAGGUGUCCUUUGACGGGUGACUGGUUAAACAAUGUGUGGUCCAUCGGUACUGUGAAAGACCACGCGGCAACGAAAAAGACUGAACUACUGAUACACACAACCACCUGGAUGGAUCUUGACAGAAUUAUGCUGAAUGAAAAAACUCUAGGACUUCCCUAGUGGCACAGUGGUUAAGAAUCCGCCUGCCAAUGCAGGGGACAUGGGUUCGAUCCCUGGUCUGGGAAGAUCCCACAUGCUGCAGAGCAACUAAGCCCGCGAGCCACAACUACUUACCCGCAUACCGCAACUACUGAGCCUGCGUGCUGCAGCUACGAAGCCCGCGCACCUAGAGCCCGUGCUCUGCAACAAGAGAAGCCACUGCAAUGAGAAACCCGUGCACCGCAACGAAGAGGAGCCCCCGCUCACCGCAACUAGAGAAAGCCCGCGCACAGCAAUGAAGACCCAACGCAGCCAAUAUUUUUUUUAAAAGAAGAAAAAAGAAAAAACUCUAACCCCCAAAGGUUAUAUAUUAUAUGAUUCCAUUUAUGGAACAGUCUUGAAAUGACAAAAUUAUAGAUGUGGAGAACAGUGUAUUGGUUGCCAAGGGGUAAGGGGCGUGUGGGGGUAACGAGGGAGUGGAUGUGUCUGUAAAAGGGCAGCAGGAGGGACCUGUGUGCAUGGAACGUCGUGAGUCUGGACGGCACCAGUGUCGGCAUCCGGAUGUGAUAUUGCGCUAGAGUUUUGCCAGACGCUGCCACUGGGGGAACCUGGGUAAAUGUUACCAGGUCCAAGCUUGUACUGCUUGCCGCACACAGGCCAAUAAAUCGAGGGAUGCGGUGUUGGGGCAGGAAUAGCGACUUUAUUGGGAACGCCAGCAGACAGAGGGGAGGGUGGACUAGUGUCCCAAAGAACCGUCUUGCCCAGGUUUGGAUGCUAGUUUCUUUUAUAGAGCAAAGAGGGGGAGUUGAGGAGGUAAAGUUAUAAAGGCCCUAAGUUGUUGCAAAUAUUUCCUGGUUCCAGCCAGACUCCCGGAGGGGAUGCGUCAAUUUCUGCUUUCCUGCAGCCAUUUACAGGUGGGCCUGGUCAGGGUGUUUCUGGUGAACUGAAGAAAAGGUAUUUUAGCUUAAGCUCAUGCAUGGGAGGCAGGGUUCCCAGAGAUGGGCCAUUAUGUUUACCUUAAGUUAUAGGCAACAUCCUUUUACUGAUUAACUUGUGGCAAAAGCAAUAGAACAUGAAGAUUAAAGUACAAGAAAGAUCCAGUAUGAAGUCAGAUUUGUUUUUCCCUAUUACAUAAAGGGUGCAUGGGAGCUCUACAUACAACUGCGUAUGAAUCUACAUGGUCUCAAAAUAGAAGUUUGAUAAACUCAACUGACUUUCAAGAUGUAACACAUGAGUUUCCAAAGAAUCCACCAGGUAAACUGUGUAUUGCUUUUACCGUUCCACAGCAUGCCAGCUCCUCUAACUGCACCUCCUUCGCUCACCAGAUGUUCAGGAACAUCGCCACCGGCAGCGCUCGGCAGGGCAAGGCAGAGUGGUCCUGAGCCUCUGGGGCAGGUGUUUCCUUACAUUUAACCAAGCCUUCCCUAAAUGGUAGCCUCAGGGGAGCAAAUAGUCCACAAAAGGGAAAUAGGAGUAGUAAGAUUAUGUGGAGAAAUAAUCUCCCUCAUGAGUCAUAGAGGAAAUGCCAUAUAAAUUUUUUUCUACUAAAUUAAUAAAAACUUGGUUGGGGGUGGGGGGAGGCUGAGGAAGGUGAGGGUGUGGGAAAGCAAGCAGCCCAGCACACCUGGACAGUGGUUUCUCUGCCUCGGUGGAUUCUCUGAGAUGCCACCUUUUUACACAGCAGUAGCACCCUUUCAUCCUCUGACCCAACAAUUCCAUUUCUAGAUCUCUUUAAGGAAAGUCUCUC